GUAGGGGGCGAGCGUUGUCCGGGAUUUAUUGGGGCGUAAAGAGCUCGUAGGCGGUUGCGUAAGUCGGAUGUGAAAACUCAGGGGCUCAACCCUGAGAUGCCAUUCGAUACUGCGCUGACUCGAGUCCGGUAGGGGAGCAUGGAAUUCCUGGUGUAGCGGUGAAAUGCGCAGAUAUCAGGAGGAACACCAGUGGCGAAGGCGGUGCUCUGGGCCGGUACUGACGCUGAGGAGCGAAAGCAUGGGUAGCAAACAGGAUUAGAUACCCUGGUAGUCCAUGCCGUAAACGUUGGGCACUAGGUGUGGGGCCUACUUAACGGGUUCCGUGCCGUAGCUAACGCAUUAAGUGCCCCGCCUGGGGAGUACGGCCGCAAGGCUA
rnacentral:rRNA from 1 species